rnacentral:rRNA from 1 species
GAUGAACGCUGGCGGUGUGCCUAAUACAUGCCAGUCGAGCGAACAGACGAGGAGCUUACUCCUCUGACGUUAGCGGCGGACGGGUGAGUAACACGUGGAUAACCUACCUAUAAGACUGGGAUAACUUCGGGAAACCGGAGCUAAUACCGGAUAACAUGUUGAACCGCAUGGUUCAACAGUGAAAGACGGUCUUGCUGUCACUUAUAGAUGGAUCCGCGUCGCAUUAGCUAGUUGGUAAGGUAACGGCUUACCAAGGCAACGAUGCGUAGCCGACCUGAGAGGGUGAUCGGCCACACUGGAACUGAGACACGGUCCAGACUCCUACGGGAGGCAGCAGUAGGGAAUCUUCCGCAAUGGGCGAAGCCUGACGGAGCAACGCCGCGUGAGUGAAGAAGGUCUUCGGAUCGUAAAACUCUGUUAUUAGGGAAGAACAAAUGUGUAAGUAACUAUGCACGUCUUGACGGUACCUAAUCAGAAAGCCACGGCUAACUACGUG